UCGAGGGCCAUCUGGCCAUCUGAGGACCAUCGACCGCCAGGGUGGGCCGGGCUGAGCUGUCCGGCUGGCAGGUGCCCCCGCCCCUCACCCUCCAUGUGCGUCCCUCCCUCCCAAGGCUGAACGCUCAGUCACAGAGGAUGACUGUCCGUGGAUAGAGAACCCGGACGGUCUCCAGUCGAGGGAGUAGAAUAGCUGUACUCUCUUGCUAGAGUGUGAACAAGCUGUCUUACAACCGUAAAUAAACAAAUCACUAAAAAAUAAGAGU
rnacentral:snRNA from 1 species